rnacentral:rRNA from 1 species
GAGUUUGAUUCUGGCUCAGGAUGAACGCUAGCGAUAGGCUUAACACAUGCAAGUCGAGGGGCAGCGAGGGUAGCAAUACCUGUCGGCGACCGGCGCACGGGUGAGUAACGCGUAUGUAACCUGCCCGCAACAGGGGGAUAACCCGGCGAAAGUCGGACUAAUACCGCAUAAAACAGGGGUCCCGCAUGGGAAUAUUUGUUAAAGAUUUAUCGGUUGCGGAUGGGCAUGCGUACCAUUAGGUAGUUGGUGAGGUAACGGCUCACCAAGCCUUCGAUGGUUAGGGGUUCUGAGAGGAAGGUCCCCCACACUGGUACUGAGACACGGACCAGACUCCUACGGGAGGCAGCAGUGAGGAAUAUUGGUCAAUGGGCGAGAGCCUGAACCAGCCAAGUCGCGUGAAGGAUGACUGCCCUAUGGGUUGUAAACUUCUUUUACAAGGGAAUAAAAUGAGAUACGUGUAUUUUAUUGCAUNACCUNGA